rnacentral:rRNA from 1 species
AUUGAACGCUGGCGGCAGGCCUAACACAUGCAAGUCGAGCGGAGCGGCGGACGGGUGAGUAAUGCCUAGGAAUCUGCCUGGUAGUGGGGGAUAACUUCCGGAAACGGGCCCUAACACCGCAUACUAUCACUUCAGCCUCGGUCGGAUUAGCUAGUUGGUGGGGUAAAGGCCGACCAAGGCGACGAUCCGUCACUGGUCUGAGAGGAUGAUCAGUCACACUGGAACUGGGACACGGGCCAGACUCCUACGGUAGGCAGCAGUGGGGAAUAUUGGACAAUGGGCGAAAGCCUGAUCCAGCCAUGCCGCGUGUGUGAAGAAGGUCUUCGGAUUGUAAAGCACUUUAAGUUGGGAGGCGUUACCAACAGAAUAAGCACCGGCUAACUUCGUGCCAGCAGACGCGGUAAUAC